AGUGAACGCUGGCGGUAGGCCUAACACAUGCAAGUCGAACGGCAGCACAGGAGAGCUUGCUCUCUGGGUGGCGAGUGGCGGACGGGUGAGGAAUACAUCGGAAUCUACUCUGUCGUGGGGGAUAACGUAGGGAAACUUACGCUAAUACCGCAUACGACCUACGGGUGAAAGCAGGGGACCUUCGGGCCUUGCGCGAUUGAAUGAGCCGAUGUCGGAUUAGCUAGUUGGCGGGGUAAAGGCCCACCAAGGCGACGAUCCGUAGCUGGUCUGAGAGGAUGAUCAGCCACACUGGAACUGAGACACGGUCCAGACUCCUACGGGAGGCAGCAGUGGGGAAUAUUGGACAAUGGGCGCAAGCCUGAUCCAGCCAUACAGCGUGGGUGAAGAAGGCCUUCGGGUUGUAAAGCCCUUUUGUUAGGAAAGAAAUCCAGCUGGCUAAUACCCGGUUGGGAUGACGGUACCCAAAGAAUAAGCACCGGCUAACUUCGUGCCAGCAGCAGCCGCAG
rnacentral:rRNA from 1 species